rnacentral:rRNA from 1 species
CACUGGUCCUUGAUGUGUAGGAUAGGUGGGAGGCUUUGAAGUGUGGACGCCAGUCUGCAUGGAGCCGUCCUUGAAAUACCACCCUUUAAUGGCUGGUGUUCUAACGUGGGCCCGUGAUCCGGGUUGCGGACAGUGUCUGGUGGGUAGUUUGACUGGGGCGGUCUCCUCCUAAAGAGUAACGGAGGAGCACGAAGGUCAGCUAAUCCUGGUCGGACAUCAGGAGGUUAGUGCAAUGGCAUAAGCUGGCUUGACUGCGAGCGUGACGGCGCGAGCAGGUGCGAAAGCAGGUCAUAGUGAUCCGGUGGUUCUGAAUGGAAGGGCCAUCGCUCAACGGAUAAAAGGUACUCCGGGGAUAACAGGCUGAUACCGCCCAAGAGUUCAUAUCGACGGCGGUGUUUGGCACCUCGAUGUCGGCUCAUCACAUCCUGGGGCUGAAGUAGGUCCCAAGGGUAUGGCUGUUCGCCAUUUAAAGUGGUACGCGAGCUGGGUUUAGAACGUCGUGAGACAGUUCGGUCCCUAUCUGCCGUGGGCGCUGGAGAAUUGAGGGGGGCUGCUCCUAGUACGAGAGGACCGGAGUGGACGCAUCACUGGUGUUCGGGUUGUCAUGCCAAUGGCAUUGCCCGGUAGCUAAAUGCGGAAGAGAUAAGUGCUGAAAGCAUCUAAGCACGAAACUUGCC